rnacentral:misc_RNA from 1 species
CUUGGUUCCUUGUUAGUCUCGUUGGUGACCAGCGGAGGGAUCAUUACCGAGUUUACAACUCCCAAACCCAAUGUGAACGUUACCAAACUGUUGCCUCGGCGGGAUCUCUGCCCCGGGUGCGUCGCAGCCCCGGACCAAGGCGCCCGCCGGAGGACCAACCAAAACUCUUAUUGUAUACCCCCUCGCGGGUUUUUUUUUAUAAUCUGAGCCUUCUCGGCGCCUCUCGUAGGCGUUUCGAAAAUGAAUCAAAACUUUCAACAACGGAUCUCUUGGUUCUGGCAUCGAUGAAAAACGCAGCGAAAUGCGAUAAGUAAUGUGAAUUGCAAAAUUCAGUGAAUCAUCGAAUCUUUGAACGCACAUUGCGCCCGCCAGUAUUCUGGCGGGCAUGCCUGUCCGAGCGUCAUUUCAACCCUCGAACCCCUCCGGGGGGUCGGCGUUGGGGAUCGGCCCUCCCUUAGCGGGUGGCCGUCUCCGAAAUACAGUGGCGGUCUCGCCGCAGCCUCUCCUGCGCAGUAGUUUGCACACUCGCAUCGGGAGCGCGGCGCGUCCACAGCCGUUAAACACCCAACUUCUGAAAUGUUGACCUCGGAUCAGGUAGGAAUACCCGCUGAACUUAAGCAUAUCAUAAGCGGGAAGAAAA